UACGUAGGGUGCGAGCGUUAAUCGGAAUUACUGGGCGUAAAGCGUGCGCAGGCGGUUCGUGAUGUCUGAUGUGAAAGCCCCGGGCUCAACCUGGGAACUGCAUUGGAAACUAGCGGGCUGGAGUGUGGCAGAGGGGGGUGGAAUUCCGCGUGUAGCAGUGAAAUGCGUAGAGAUGCGGAGGAACACCGAUGGCGAAGGCAACCCCCCUGGGCUGACACUGACGCUCAGGCACGAAAGCGUGGGGAGCAAACAGG
rnacentral:rRNA from 1 species